rnacentral:rRNA from 1 species
UGGGGAAUAUUGGACAAUGGGCGAAAGCCUGAUCCAGCGACGCCGCGUGUCGGAAGGAGUCCUUCGGGAUGUAAACGACUUUUGGUGGAGACGAAUAAGCAGCUCAGGGAAUGGGGCUGUGAUGACGGUAUCCAUGGAAUAAGCCCCGGCUAACUACGUGCCAGCAGCCGCGGUAAGACGUAGGGGCAAGCGUUACCCGGAAUUACUGGGCGUAAAGGGAGCGUAGGCGGGAGGUCAAGUCCGGUGUGAAAGACCCUGGCUCAGCCAGGGAUGAGGGCUGGAAACUGACAAUCUUGAGUACAGCAGAGGAAGAGGGAAUUACCGGUGUAGGGGUGAAAUCCGUAGAGACCGGUAAGAAGGCCAGUGGCGAAGGCGCUUUUCUGGGCUGUUACUGACGCUAAGGCUCGAAAGCCAGGGGAGCAAACCG